AUUGAACGCUGGCGGCAUGCCUUACACAUGCAAGUCGAACGGUAACGGGCCUUCGGGUGCCGACGAGCGGCGAACGGGUGAGUAAUGUAUCGGAACGUACCUUUCAGUGGGGGAUAACGUAGCGAAAGUUACGCUAAUACCGCACAUUCUGUGAGCAGGAAAGCAGGGGAUCGCAAGACCUUGCGCUGAUUGAGCGGCCGAUAUCAGAUUAGCUAGUUGGUGAGGUAAAGGCUCACCAAGGCGACGAUCUGUAGCGGGUCUGAGAGGAUGAUCCGCCACACUGGAACUGAGACACGGUCCAGACUCCUACGGGAGGCAGCAGUGGGGAAUUUUGGACAAUGGGGGCAACCCUGAUCCAGCCAUGCCGCGUGAGUGAAGAAGGCCUUCGGGUUGUAAAGCUCUUUCGGCCGGGAAGAAAUCGUAUCAGCUAAUACCUGGUGCGGAUGACGGUACCGGCAUAAGAAGCACCGGCUAACUACGUGCCAGCAGCCGCCGCGGUAA
rnacentral:rRNA from 1 species